GACAGAGGAUGCAAGCGUUAUCCGGAAUGAUUGGGCGUAAAGCGUCUGUAGGUGGCUUUUCAAGUCCGCCGUCAAAUCCCAGGGCUCAACCCUGGACAGGCGGUGGAAACUGCCAAGCUGGAGUACGGUAGGGGCAGAGGGAAUUUCCGGUGGAGCAGUGAAAUGCGUAGAUAUCGUGAGGAAGACCAGUGGCGAAGGCGGGUCUCUGGACAGUUCCUGACACUGAGGCACGAAGGCCAGGGGAGCAAACGGG
rnacentral:rRNA from 1 species